rnacentral:rRNA from 1 species
CCCCUAGAUGUUCUGGGCCGCACGCGUGCUACACUGAACAGUUCAACAAGUCUUAACCUUGGCCGAUAGGCCUGGGUAAUCUUUGAACGCUGUUCGUGAUUGGGAUAGACCUUUGCAAUUAUGGGUCUUCAACGAGGAAUUCCUAGUAAACGCAAGUCAUCAGCUUGCAUUGAUUACGUCCCUGCCCUUUGUACACACCGCCCGUCGCACCUACCGAUUGAAUGGUCCGGUGAAAUCUCGGGACGGCGGCUUGGUCGCUUGCGUCCGACUGCUGAAACUUGAUUAAACCAUAUCAUUUAGAGGAAGGUGAAGUCGUAACA